UGUCUAACAAGUCAUGGCUGCCCAGGAGCGAAGCAAAGAGCAGGCAGAGGAAUGGGAAUGGCUUGAGCCUGCCUUGGGUGCAGAGCAGGAGCUGAGCGGGAUGCAGAGACGCCGCCUCCAACGCGGUCUCUACCGAGCACCCUUGGACAGAGAAUUGGGGAGACGUUAGGGCAGCCCCAGCCCCCUUGCCAGAGCAGCCCAAAUCCCCCUGGACAAGGCAACUGUCAACCAGGCAGUUGACAGACCCAAGCUGGAACACCCUCAGCACAGCCAGCUGGAGCUGGGAAGGGAAAUAUCCCUGCAGAAGAGAGCAGGCAUAGGAAAACUGAACACUUACAGUAUGGAGAGGGGAAAAUCAUUCACUUUUGUGAGGAAGAAGCAGGAGAGUUGACCUCUCAUUAGUUCUAUGGGUUAAAAUGAAACUUCCCCUCAAAAAGGGGCUCAUCUGAGGGCACUGAUCCCAGCCCUUGUCAUGUCUCAGGUGAGUGGGAACGUUCCUGGUGGAGUGGACACAGCUGGCAAAAGCAAGACUUCCUCCCAUGUCAACGCAGGGAGCAGCAGCUUGUGGACAAGGCUCUCUUACCUGUGGCUUCUUGGAAGUGUCGCACACACGUGUCCAUGGUUGCCACGCUGCCACUGAGGGUCUUUGUGCCUGGGAGAGAAACAGGAUGGCACUGAGCAGCACCCACAGCUCACAGCAAGAAGCAGGGCACUAGGGAAGCAUAAUGGGACCAGAAGUGCAGAAAUCCUGGGUGGCAGGAGGAGCAAGCUGAAGGGCCUGCAGCCACUUCCUGCUGGGGCACAGGAACCUGGGUGUUACCUCUAGCUUCACCAUCAGACCAGCUGGACUGGGUGAAACCAGCUCACAAUGCAGGCAUCUGCUGCCAGAGGAAGGGAAUGGAGAAAGGAAUGAUCCUUCUCUGAAAUACCUUCCCAGUCUUCACCUACUUGGGAAUUUGAAACUUAGGGAGUUUCAAGCAAGGGAGCUAGCAAGAAGUGGUAGUGUUAUAAUAAAGACAAGGGACAAUAAAUAUCUCUUAA